AGGAAGAGACAUCAAACGAGAUUCCGUAAGUAGUGGCGAGCGAACGCGGAAGAGGGCAAACCGGGAGUAGAAAUACUUCCGGGGUACGGACUGCUUUUAGGACUUAAUCUGUUAACCGAACGGCAUGGGAAGGCCGGUCAGAGAGUGUGAGAACCACGUAGGUGAAAACGGAGAGAGCUGCGCAGGAUCCAGAGUACGGCCAGACACGUGAAACCUGGUCGGAAUACGGGGGGACCACCCUCCAACCCUAAAUACUACCCAGUGACCGAUAGCGUAUAGUACUGUGAAGGAAAGGUGAAAAGCACCCCGGGAGGGGAGUGAAAAAGAACCUGAAACCCUGUGCCUACAAGCACCUAGAGCACGUCAAUGUGUGAUAGGGUACUUUUUGUAGAACGGUCCGGCGAGCGAUUGUAUGCAGCAAGGUUAAGGACUUAAGGUCUGGAGCCGAAGCGAAAGCGAGUUUGAAAAGGGCGUUAAGUUGCAUACAAUGGGCCCGAAACCGGGUGACCUACCCAUGGUCAGGUUGAAGUGGAAGUAAAAUUCCAUGGAGGACCGAACCGACCUCCGUUGAAAAGGCGGCGGAUGAACUGUGGGUAGCGGAGAAAUUCCAAUCGAACCCGGAGAUAGCUGGUUCUCCCCGAAAUAGUUUUAGGACUAGCCUCAAGUUAGAUACCUGGAGGUAAAGCACUGAAUAGCCUAGCGGCCGAGAGGUUAGCGAAGCUUAUCAAACUCAGAAUGCCAGAGUAUUGAUGCUUGGGAGUCAGACAGUGUCAGAUAAAUGUCAUUGUCAAAAGGGAAACAGCCCAGAUCUACAGCUAAGGUCCCAAAGUCAGGUUAAGUGGAAAACGAUGUGAAGAUACGUAGACAACCAGGAUGUUGGCUCAGAAGCAGCCACACAUUCAAAGAGUGCGUAAUAGCUCACUGGUCGAGCGUCUUUGCGCGGAGAAUUUAACGGGGCUAAACCUGACACCGAAGCUUAGGCAAUACAGCAAUGUAUUGGGUAGGGGAGCGUUGUAUACGCGGUGAAACAGUAGCGCAAGCGGCUGUGGAGUGUAUAGAAGUGAGAAUGCCGGAAUGAGUAGCGCGAAUGCAGUGAGAAUCUGCAUGGCCGAAAGCCUCAGGUUUCUGGAGGAAGGUUCGUCCGCUCCAGGUUAGUCGGGAGCUAAGGUGAGGCCGGAAGGCGUAGCCGAUGCACAGACGGUAGAGAUUCCGUCACCACCAAAAGAGUUAAGCACAGGGACACAUUUGAAGUCUCAGAGCCGGGUGUUGGUUCCGGUAGAGAUCGAGGGAAAUUAGUACCGAAGUCUGGGAUGGAAGAUGGCGAGAAAAGCUGUGUGUAUUUCUGAGGUGCCCGUACCGCAAACCGACACAGGUAGGUAGGAAGAAGAUUCUAAGGCCAACGGGAGAAGGGUUGUUAAGGAACUCGGCAAAUUGACCCCGUAACUUCGGGAGAAGGGGUGCUCCAGAGAUGGAGCCGCAGAGAAUCGGCCCAAGCAACUGUUUACCAAAAACACAGGUUUGUGCUAAAUCGAAAGAUGACGUAUACGAGCUGACGCCUGCCCGGUGCUGGAAGGUUAAGAGGAGAUGUGCAAGCAUUGAAUCGAAGCCCCAGUGAACGGCGGCCGUAACUAUAACGGUCCUAAGGUAGCGAAAUUCCUUGUCAGGUAAGUUCUGACCCG
rnacentral:rRNA from 1 species